rnacentral:rRNA from 1 species
GUGGGGAAUUUUGGACAAUGGGCGCAAGCCUGAUCCAGCAAUGCCGCGUGCAGGAAGAAGGCCUUCGGGUUGUAAACUGCUUUUGUACGGAACGAAAAGGCUCUGGUUAAUACCUGGGGCUCAUGACGGUACCGUAAGAAUAAGCACCGGCUAACUACGUGCCAGCAGCCGCGGUAAUACGUAGGGUGCAAGCGUUAAUCGGAAUUACUGGGCGUAAAGCGUGCGCAGGCGGUUUUGUAAGACAGAGGGGAAAUCCCCGGGCUCAACCUGGGAAUUGCCUUUGUGACUGCAAGGCUGGAGUGCGGCAGAGGGGGAUGGAAUUCCGCGUGUAGCAGUGAAAUGCGUAGAUAUGCGGAGGAACACCGAUGGCGAAGGCAAUCCCCUGGGCCUGCACUGACGCUCAUGCACGAAAGCGUGGGGAGCAAACAGGAUUAGAAACCCCGGUAGUCC